ACACAAUAUCUCAUCAACAUACCGACCAAUAGCAAAUGGAACUAACACCUGUUUGGUUACUUUAAUGUUUGCAUUAUCAUUGAGCCACUGCAAACGAUACGGCUGCGGAUGUUUGGUAGUAGGUAACCCCAAUUUCUCCACCAUCGUAGUGCUUGCCACAUUUGUACAGCUGCCUCCAUCUAUGACUACACAACAAAUUUUCUCAUUCACAAG
rnacentral:lncRNA from 1 species